CUCUACAUUCACUUCACUGACAUUCAAAGCAACGGAGCACAGCAAAGAAAACCACAAUCAAAAGAAUGGAUCGCAGGCAGAGAGCAUCUGAGGCUGUUGUGAUGUUGCAGCCUCAGCAUCCACAUGCAUAUUAUCCAUCCAGCUCAGGCCAGUCAGUCCAGCAAGGCCCCUACAAUCAAGGGCCACUUCCAGGACAAACUGUGGUCACGAUGCAGACUGAAGAUUUUGAGCCCGCCGCACCACUGUCGGAUCACUUGUGCUACUCCAUCUUCACCAUGCUUUGCUGCUGCAGUCCUCUGGGCAUCGCAGCGCUGGUAUUUUCCCUCUCUACCCGAAAUGCCAACGGAGCUGGACACAGAGAAUUAGCUGUGAGGAACUCCAAAACGGCACGCACCCUGAAUAAUACCGCCUGUUGUCUUGGCAUUGUUUUGAUUGUAUUUAUUGUUGUCUUUGAGUUAGUGUUACUUGAAAAACUAAAAAACCUAAAUUAUUUGGAAAAGAAUUCCCAAAACUGAGUUGAUGUCAUACUGUAAAGCAAAUACGCAUAAAUUACAGUUUUUUUUUAUUUUGUUAAACAUGUUUUUAUUUUCCCCCUAUAUAUUUAUGCUUUGAGUUGCAUUAUGGGACCUUUUAACCAUGAAAAGUGAUUUUAAGAACAUUUUUAAUAGUUUAAAGUGAUAUAUUGUCUGGGUUGGUGUUGUAUUUUAUGCAACAAAAACCUUGUAAUAAACUGCUGGUACAUUUUCUCUUUUUUUACAGAAUUAUUUCUCUAUAUAUAAUUUUUUAUACAUA
ensembl:processed_transcript